rnacentral:rRNA from 1 species
CGGGAAACUGAAGCUAAUACCGGAUGAUGACGUAAGUCCAAAGAAUUUAUCGCCUAAGGAUGAGCCCGCGUUGGAUUAGCUAGUUGGUGAGGUAAAGGCUCACCAAGGCGACGAUCCAUAGCUGGUCUGAGAGGAUGAUCAGCCACACUGGGACUGAGACACGGCCCAGACUCCUACGGGAGGCAGCAGUGGGGAAGUAUUGGACAAUGGGCGAAAGACCUGAUCCAGCAAUGCCGCGUGAGUGAUGAAGGCCUUAGGGUUGUAAAGCUCUUUUACCCGGGUAUGAUAAUGACAGUACCGGGAGAAUAAGCUCCGGCUAACUCCGUG